AUUUCGAUGAAAAUAUCCAUCGAUUUUUCUAGCAGUACUGCAGCGAAUUGCUAGAAAAAAACAUUCACGUCAGCUGUUUUUGUUUUUCUUAUCAUUUCAUUCCGCUUUUCUCUGUUUUUACACCUUUUAAAAGUUAAUUACCAAUUGGAAUCCAAUCAUCCUUCAUCAAAAGCUACGAAAUUUUGCAGAAAUCUCAAAUAUUCCCUCAUAUUGCUGGCUGUUUUCAUGUAUUUUUCAAGUUAACCUCACUUUUUCUAUUGUUUACAAUCGAGGAUUUAAAUUUUCUUGUAAUGCUAAACCAAAUUUUGACAGAAAAAUCCCCGGAAUUUCCAUUAAACCCAUUUUUGAAUCAACAAGCAUGACGAAGAUUCUCUGGAGCAUAUUCUUCAUCCAUUGCUGCCUAAUAACUUUUUGGAUUGUUUACUUUUACAAUGCGGCAGGGUUUAAUUUAUUAAAUGCCUCGCCACCAAGCACUGACAACACCCAGUAUUGGCUGUCUGUGUUCAAAACCGUAGGGGGAGGUGCUGGAGUCAGUUCCAGUGUCGUUCUCUCCCUCGACACUCUCACCAGAGUCACUGUCUCUUCAGAAGGAUGCUGCAGUAAAUUCCUCUACGCAAUCGGAAACCUCCUGUCGUUCUUCAGUCACUUUCUGGGCGUCAUAACAUGGAUCAUCUCCUUCAUCAUUGACAACUGUUCCGUGAUCCCACCGAAGCACUAUGUUCCUUCCAUUCUCUGCAGCACCCAACAUACCUACCUAAAUAUUAUGAUUUUCUUCGGAGUAUUUGCAGAGAUCCUCCUAGGCAUUUGCCUCCUGAGGCUCUUUCGUCUUUUACCAAACCACCGAUACCAGUCUCUCUAAUAAAGAGUUCCACAAACUGAAUUAGAAAGUAUUGUAACAUUUACGAAUUUAUACAAAUAAAGAAUUAUUUACAAAUUUUA